GCUCAUGAUCUCACGAUGUAUGGAAAAAUAAUCUUUGUAUUACUAUUGUCAG
rnacentral:sRNA from 1 species